CGCGGUUAUACCAAGUGAUUAAGUUAUAUAUUUAGGUAAAAAGAUAGUUAGGUAUAAAAUUGAUAGUUUAUUGAUUAUUUGUGUAAGAGUAAAAUUUGUAUAUGAAUAUUUAAUUCGAAAAUAACUUGAAAUACUGAAGCUAUGAUAAUCUUGAGGGAAACUGGGAUUAGAUACCCCAUUAUUCUUGAUUGUAAACUAAAUUAAAUUUACCAGAGUACUAUGAAUAUAUAAGAAUUUAAAACUCAAAGGGCUUGGCGGUGUUUUAGACCUAUCAGGGGAACCUGUCUCAUAAUCGACAAUCCACGUUGUACCUAACCUUAUUUUGUAAUUCAGUUUGUAUACCGUCGUCGUCAGGUAACUUUUAAAAAUAUAGAAGUUAGCAAUAGAAAUACUUUUAAGUUAAGACGUCAGAUCAAGGUGCAGCCUAUAAUAAGGAGAGGAUGGGUUACAGUUAUAAUAAUUAUAAUUACGGAAAUUUAGAUGAAAAUAUUUUGAAGGAGGACUUGAAAGUAAAAUUAAAAUAUAUAAAUAAAUUGAAUAAGGCUCUG
rnacentral:rRNA from 1 species